ensembl:lncRNA
AUGUGUGUGUAUGUGCUUUCAAGUCUCCUGUUGACUAGGGAAGCAAGAAGGAAAAUGUUACAAAAAUGGUACAGAACUCCUGCACAACUUUCACGUUUUUUACCAGGGAUAAAAGAUAGGUGUUGGCACAGUUGUGAACAAAGAGGGGUGUUUAAUCAUAUGAUAUGGGAGUACGAUCGGGUGCAAGAAUACUGGAGAAUGAUUGAAGGAGAAAUCAAUAGAAUGCUAAAUCUACAAAUAGUAAUAGUUAAUAGAAAUGUACUACAUGCAAGGAUAAUGGAAGUGAAGAAUAUACAAAAAGAAAAAAUGAUUGACAAAUUAAUAGCAUGUGCACAAAUUGUUUUAGUGAGGGGUUGGAAAAAUAAAACAAAAUGGACUCUGAUGAAUUGGUAUAAGUAUAUAGUUGAUAUGUUAAAUGUAGAAAUCACAAAUUGCAAACGGAAUAAUAUAGAUAAAAUUGAAAAUAUUGCAAUAAUCAAGGGGAUGUGGGAACCAGUUAAGAACUAUUUAGAGAACGUACUAAGAUGUGGAAUGGAAAAAUUAAGAUUGAGAUUGAUAUUUCAAAUGUAACUUCUGUAUACAAAAUGCCUUGCGGUGGUAUCUCCCUCCAGAGAGAUUAGCGAAGAUGUACAAUUGCACCGAUAAAUGCUGGAAAUGUGGGAAAAAGGCACAUUUUUCCACCUGUGGUGGUCAUGCAACAAAGUAAACAGCUAUUGGAAACAGAUUCAUGUACAUCUAGAAAAGAUAUUAAAUACAAAUUUUAAAAUGACACCACAAAUGUACCAUUUGAACAUGCCUGAAGAAGAAUUGGAAAGGAAAUAUGGAAGAAUUUUGUUUUACGUGACAGUGGCAGCUCGGAUAGUAUACGCUAGAUAUUGGAAAACCCCAGAGGUACCUCCCUUAGCAGAACUGGAACAAUAUAUUAUAGAGUUGCUGAUGAUGGACAAAAUAACAAUGCACUUAAGAGGAGAACCUUUAGAGAACUUUGUCAAGGAAUGGCAACCAAUGAUCCAACAUUUCAAUGUAAAAUUAAUCUAAAAAUGUACAUGGAGGAAGCUAAUAGACUGAAGGCAAGGAGGAAACGGAUAUAAAUUUGGAAAUUAUAAUAUUAUUAUAUAUACUAUAUAAAUAGAAGCAUGUGACCCCUUAUUGUAAAUAUAUUGUCUAAGAAAUGAUUAUGAAAGACUAAUAGAUGAAAGUAUUGCACUGUAUGCAACAAACACCUGCAAUGUAUGUAUAUUUGAAUGAGUGAAAAUAAAUAAACAUUAUAUAUUUUUUAAAAUGCAACUUCUGUAGUUUGUUGUACAACGUGUAUGUACAAGGAGGGGAGGGUGGGAGUGGGAUAAAACGACAAAACAACAAUAAAAACAAAUUUUAAAAAGUCUCCUGUUGACUUUCACAGGGGUUUCUUAGACAACGAAUAUUCAGAAGUGGUUUUGCCUAUUCCUUUCUCUGAAAUAUAGCUUGCAGCACCUAGUAUUUGUUGACAGUGUUCCAUCCAAAUAGUAAUCAGAGAUGACCCUGCUUAGCUUCCAAAAUCAGAUGAGAUCUGGUGCCUUUGGGGUAUGUAGAUCCUUGCUUUGCCACAUUUAACCUUCAAAAAUUUAUUUGGAGAGAACAACUAACAAUAGACCUAUUAAAUAAAUGUGUAGGGGGAGAGUUGGCGAGCGGAACAGGGAAGGCAGGCUGUGGGGACCUCUGGUUUGAUAAUGAGACAUCAUCAUUAUAAGAUUAGCCAGCAGAGCGAGCAACACCCUCUUAAUAAUGCACACAUUGCUAUGACAACCGCAGGAUUUGACACCCCAGAACAACUUUAUUGUGCCGCAGCCAAAAUAUGAGACCGGCGGCUGCACCUUCGAGGCAGCGCCUAUGGAUUUAAGCCGACUUAGCUGCCGUGUUCUCGGCCGGCGCUCCUGAAAUUGGCUUACAGUCAAGGACUCUGACUUAAGGACUUUCUGGUUCUGAGCUGUAGCCCCCAGACUUAGUUCUGCUCUCAUUCUGUCUCUCUCUCUCCCCCCACACCUCAACACCCUUGUUUACAUGGCAAGAUUGGCCAGAGGGUUAAUGUGUCUCUCCUAAGAUUGCUAAAUUGCUGUCAAGUAUUAGUGUUGGAGCAUGCUGACAUAAUUAUCCCACUGUACCCUAUAUAAUUAGCAGAGCUAAGCCCAGGCUGUAUUAAUACCCUGAUUAAUUAUGGCGGAAGGCAUAAACAAGGGUAUUAAUUCUCUGAAAGUAUUGGGAUAGCGCUUUGACAGCCCAUAUGCUUGUCUGCAGGACCACUAGGGAUUGUGUCGAAUCGGGAGCUGUGCGGUGCCCUGACUGUAAUGAGAAAUGAGAAAACUGCUGAAAAAUUGAUGCCGCCUGCAGAUUGCACAAUCCGCCGAACAGCAGGGGGUUGGCUUCUUACAUCUCCUGCUCUCGGUACAAUAUGCUAAUUUCUCCAUGCAGGCCCAAGUGUUGAAAAAGGGAAAAGAAGAAAAGAUUUCACACAAAAAAAAGGAAAGGGGGGAAUGCAAAUGACAACACAAAGAUCACUGAGUAGAAAUCCAUGAGCUUUAUAUGGAUUAACUGUGUUGGAGCGCCUGCUCUCACUUGCGUUUAACCCUCUCUAUCCCUAGCGCACAGCCAACAUUUGGCUUUCCUGGGGCAUAGGGAAGAAUCAAGGGUGCCCUGUGAAGUUUGGGGGAGAGAAUGGAUAGAAUGAAAAAGCUUCCCCAAAGUUCUGUCCUCUUUCCAAUGACAUGCACAGAAUAUUCCAGAACACGCCAUUGGCCAGGAUGUACUAACCAGUGUGUACCAACCCACACUGUUUCGUGAAAUCUAGUCGGCUGUUGUAACUUAAUGUGGAUGUUUGUUUAGAUUUUAUGUUAUUAUAUAAUUUUGUUGGAUUAUGUGUAGUUAAUUU